CCACCACCGAGCACUUGAAAGCGCUGCAGCAGCAAAGUCUCACCUGAAAAGAAAUCAACAAACAAGCAAGUUUUGGUUAAACAAACCCCAAAAUAUUUACCUGGGGUGCAGCAGCUGUGAGGAGAGAGGGACCAACCUCUGAUGAAGGAGCUGGUGGAUGGUGGGAGCAGUCCCAGCCAUGAAGAGGAAUUUAGGAAGUGACCCCAGCUUGUGAUGCAGCUCCAGGGCUGGAUUCCUGCUGCCACCUCAUUUGUCACCUUGAUACUCUACUCUCUCCUCCUGCUGGCCCUUUACACCAUGCUCAGCAGGAAAAUUGCCCAGCAUUCCUGCAGGAUGCAGGUGAGCAGCAGCCCUGCGGAGCAUCGCAGCGCUCACCCAGCUGCGGCACCGGGAGGGGACACGGCG
rnacentral:lncRNA from 1 species